rnacentral:rRNA from 1 species
ACACUCCUGCGGGAGGCAGCAGUGGGGAAUUUUGGACAAUGGGCGAAAGCCUGAUCCAGCAAUGCCGCGUGAGUGAAGAAGGCCUUCGGGUUGUAAAGCUCUUUUGUCAGGGAAGAAACGGUGAAAGCUAAUAUCUUUUGCUAAUGACGGUACCUGAAGAAUAAGCACCGGCUAACUACGUGCCAGCAGCCGCGGUAAUACGUAGGGUGCAAGCGUUAAUCGGAAUUACUGGGCGUAAAGCGUGCGCAGGCGGUUUUGUAAGUCUGAUGUGAAAUCCCCGGGCUCAACCUGGGAAUUGCAUUGGAGACUGCAAGGCUAGAAUCUGGCAGAGGGGGGUAGAAUUCCACGUGUAGCAGUGAAAUGCGUAGAUAUGUGGAGGAACACCGAUGGCGAAGGCAGCCCCCUGGGUCAAGAUUGACGCUCAUGCACGAAAGCGUGGGGAGCAAACAGGAUUAGAAACCCGUGUAGUCC